UCAGGAUGAACGCUGGCGGCGUGCUUAACACAUCCUUGUCGAACGAAGCACUUUGAUCGAUUUCUUCGGAUUGAAAUUUUAGUGACUGAGUGGCGGACGGGUGAGUAACGCGUGGGUAACCUGCCUCACACAGGGGGAUAACAGUUGGAAACGGCUGCUAAUACCGCAUAAGCGCACAGUACCGCAUGGUACGGUGUGAAAAACUCCGGUGGUGUGAGAUGGACCCGCGUCUGAUUAGCUAGUUGGCAGGGCAGCGGCCUACCAAGGCGACGAUCAGUAGCCGACCUGAGAGGGUGACCGGCCACAUUGGGACUGAGACACGGCCCAAACUCCUACGGGAGGCAGCAGUGGGGAAUAUUGCACAAUGGGGGAAACCCUGAUGCAGCGACGCCGCGUGAGCGAAGAAGUAUUUCGGUAUGUAAAGCUCUAUCAGCAGGGAAGAAGAAAUGACGGUACCUGACUAAGAAGCACCGGCUAAAUACGUGCCAGCAGCCGCGGUAAUACGUAUGGUGCAAGCGUUAUCCGGAUUUACUGGGUGUAAAGGGAGCGCAGGCGGAAGGCUAAGUCUGAUGUGAAAGCCCGGGGCUCAACCCCGGUACUGCAUUGGAAACUGGUCAUCUAGAGUGUCGGAGGGGUAAGUGGAAUUCCUAGUGUAGCGGUGAAAUGCGUAGAUAUUAGGAGGAACACCAGUGGCGAAGGCGGCUUACUGGACGAUAACUGACGCUGAGG
rnacentral:rRNA from 1 species